rnacentral:rRNA from 1 species
UGGCGGCGUGGAUUAGGCAUGCAAGUUCGUGCGAGAAGUGUUUUUUGCUUGCAUUGAACACGGACAGCGGCGAAAGGGAGAGUAACGUGUGGUUACAUGCCCAAGGGUCCAGGAUAGCGUUGGGAAACUGGCGGUAAUACUGGAUGAUAUCUAAGGAUCAAAGGUGUGAUUCCGCCCUUGGAUUGGACCGCAUACUAUUAGCUUGUUGGUGGGGUAAUGGCCUACCAAGGCUGCGAUGGUUACCGGGUGUGAGAGCAUGGCCCGGCUCACUGGGACUGAGACACUGCCCAGACACCUACGGGUGGCUGCAGUCGAGAAUCUUCGGCAAUGGACGAAAGUCUGACCGAGCGACGCCGCGUGCGGGAUGAAGGCCCUCGGGUUGUAAACCGCUGUCAGUUUGGAGGAAAGGUCUGUGAAGAGCAGACCCUGACCGAUAUUCAGAGGAAGGACGGGCUAAGUUCGUGCCAGCAGCCGCGGUAAGACGAACCGUCCAAACGUUAUUCGGUAUCACUGGGCUUAAAGCGUGCGUAGGCGGCUUGGAAGGUGAGAUGUGAAAGCCCACGGCUCAACCGUGGAAUUGCGUUUCAAACCCUCAAGCUUGAGGAAGACAGGGGUGUUGGGAACUUAUGGUGGAGCGGUGAAAUGCGUUGAUAUCAUAGGGAACACCGGUGGCGAAGGCGCAACACUGGGUCUUUUCUGACGCUGAGGCACGAAAGCUAGGGUAGCGAACGGGAUUAGAUACCCCGGUAGUCCUAGCUGUAAACGAUGAACACUGGGUUGAGGGGACUUCCACAUCCUCUCGGCC